AGAGUGAACGCUGGCGGUAGGCCUAACACAUGCAAGUCGAACGGCAGCACAGGAGAGCUUGCUCUCUGGGUGGCGAGUGGCGGACGGGUGAGGAAUACAUCGGAAUCUACCUUUUCGUGGGGGAUAACGUAGGGAAACUUACGCUAAUACCGCAUAAGACCUUCGGGUGAAAGCCGGGGACCUUCGGGCCUGGCGCGGAUAGAUGAGCCGAUGUCGGAUUAGCUUGUUGGCGGGGUAAAAGCCCACCAAGGCGACGAUCCGUAGCUGGUCUGAGAGGAUGAUCAGCCACACUGGAACUGAGACACGGUCCAGACUCCUACGGGAGGCAGCAGUGGGGGAAUAUUGGACAAUGGGCGCAAGCCUGAUCCAGCCAUACCGCGUGGGUGAAGAAGGCCUUCGGGUUGUAAACCUCUUUCAGCAGGGACG
rnacentral:rRNA from 1 species